ACACGACUCUCGGCAACGGAUAUCUCGGCUCUCGCAUCGAUGAAGAACGUAGCGAAAUGCGAUACCUGGUGUGAAUUGCAGAAUCCCGCGAACCAUCGAGUCUUUGAACGCAAGUUGCGCCCGAGGCCAUUCGGCCGAGGGCACGCCUGCCUGGGUGUCACGC
rnacentral:rRNA from 1 species